CCUACGGGUGGCUGCAGUGGGGAAUAUUGGACAAUGGGCGAAAGCCUGAUCCAGCCAUGCCGCGUGUGUGAAGAAGGCCUUCGGGUUGUAAAGCACUUUCAGUGGGGAAGAAAGCCUUGGGGCUAAUACCCUCGAGGAAGGGCAUCACCCACAGAAGAAGCACCGGCUAACUCCGUGCCAGCAGCCGCGGUAAUACGGAGGGUGCGAGCGUUAAUCGGAAUUACUGGGCGUAAAGCGCGCGUAGGCGGUCUGAUAAGCCGGUUGUGAAAGCCCCGGGCUCAACCUGGGAACGGCAUCCGGAACUGUCAGGCUAGAGUGCAGGAGAGGAAGGUAGAAUUCCCGGUGUAGCGGUGAAAUGCGUAGAGAUCGGGAGGAAUACCAGUGGCGAAGGCGGCCUUCUGGACUGACACUGACGCUGAGGUGCGAAAGCGUGGGUAGCAAACAGGAUUAGAUACCCGAGUAGUC
rnacentral:rRNA from 1 species